GCUCGCCUCACUCAAUAUCAGACUCCAUAGAGGGAACCAGACCAGACCUCAAAGACGAGCAAAUAGCCAACUCUGACCUCUAUACUGAUGGGAGCAGUUUCAUCAGGAUGGAACUCGAUCUCAAGACUAUAGCCAUUUCGGAGGUUACCCGAUGUUCUGCCAGUGCACAGGUAAAUCCAGGGCCUCCCAGACCCCAUGGACUUGGGGUCUGAAUCAGAGGGCAUGACCAGGUGAGCAUUGGGAACUUGAUUUUACUGAGAUCUCAAC